rnacentral:rRNA from 1 species
UACGGAGGAUGCAAGCGUUAUCCGGAUUCAUUGGGUUUAAAGGGUGCGUAGGCGGACUAUUAAGUCAGUGGUGAAAGCCUGCAGCUUAACUGCAGAACUGCCAUUGAUACUGAUAGUCUUGAGUUUGGUUAAGGUAGGCAGAAUGUGUAAUGUAGCGGUGAAAUGCUUAGAUAUUACACAGAACACCAAUUGCGUAGGCAGCUUACUGAGCCGACACUGACGCUGAGGCACGAAAGCGUGGGGAUCGAACA